GUGAAUCAUCGAAUUUUUGAACGCAAAUUGCACUCUCUUCGAUUAGGAUGAGUGUUUGAGGGUCAGUAUUAAUAAAAAUCGGCGCGUUGUUCUUUUGUGUCGUUCUGGAGUUUGGGUGAUCUUAUAAUAACACCCUUUCAGGUUAUUUUUAAGAGGUUUAACAUUAAUCUUUUUUGUGUAUAAUUGACGUACAUAAAUUUUUUUUUACUAGUCUAUCUUAAUGCUAAAUCUUCAUUAGAAGUGACCA
rnacentral:misc_RNA from 1 species